CAGAUGCCUGUAUUUUAAUGCUAAUAGACAGACAAACUUCGCAUGCAAAUAAUAUUCAAAUUUAGGGCGGUUAGCAGAUAAAUUUGGCCGCAUUGCUCCGCGUGUAGUUUAUUCAAUGCUCUCGUCUGCUGGUGAAGAAGUGCUUUCAAGAUCGAAAUAAGAGGCUCAGAAAACUCCAAAGAAGCACAAAAUUCGAAGUCAAGGACAGGACUAAGGUAUUUAUUGCUAUUUUAUGUGAAAUAUUUUUACUUCAGCGAUUAAAAGUGUCGAAAUAACUUGUCGAAGUUGACGACCGCAAGUCGCUUCGCAUUUGGGCGUGUUUGCUAACGCAUUCGACUUUCGUCUCAUCCUCAGAGAAAAACGCUGAAUUUGAGCCUUGUUCAUUAUCAUUCGUUUAAAUUAUAGUAGAGAAAUACUUCGAUAAAGUAUUCAAGGUGUCUUAUAGCUAAAUUUGUUUUCAAAUUUGUCAUUUUAGUACAAACAAGACUGAAUGUUGAAUUCUCAAUCUCGUGACUCGUGGGACCAUGUGGCAUGUCUGCUGGUGAAGAAGUGCUUUCAAAAUUGAAAUAAGAAGCUCGGAAAACCCCAACGAAGCACACAAUUCGUCAACGACAGGACUAAGUCUAAGGUAUUUAUUGCUAUUUUAUAUAUGAAAUAUUUUUACUUCAGCGAUUAAAAGUGUCGAAAUAACUUGUCGAAGACUUUAACGACGGCAAGUCGCUUUGCAUUUCGCGUGCUUGCUGACACAGAGAAAAACGCCGAAUUAAGCCUUACUUCGAUAAAGUAUUCAAGAAUCAAGGUGUCUUGUAUUCAAGGUGUCUAAUUUGUUUUUUAAAUUUAUUUUAGUUCAAACAAGAAAUUAUGAAUUCUCAAUCUCGUGGGACCAUGUCAAGCAAAGUCUCUUUCUUGCUGGAAUUCAAAAGGAAAAACUAACUUGAUUUCUUCAAACCUCGAAGACUCGCCAGGCAACAAGUCCGACUCCAACAAGAGACAGACGAAACACGAGCUCAACCAAUGUGUGAUUUGAAAUCGAGCGUGGAUCAGUUUACGUCUCUCGUGUUCAAUGCAUAUGAUGGGGCUCGAAGAACAGUGACUCCUUUCUACCCUAUAGUCGUUCCGGUUGCUGUUAAAGACGUCGAACAAUUGUGGUUUAACAUCGCCGCCCCUCAGAGGAAGUAGAAACGUUAUUCAACACUCCAGAAAUGAAUACUUCACGAUGUGUGUCGCCGGCAAACCCAAUGUAUACCCCCACACUGCGGUAGGCAGUCAAGUUUUUAAAUCUACAUUUUUUUGUUUUUAUUGCCUAUUUUUUAUUUUAUUUUCAUAUAUCAUGACUCAUGACUUUUAUAGCUGGAAGGAGUUGAGAGAGCCCCACUCGACUGCAUGCCUUCUGAAUAAUGUUAAACUCUGUUUUACACGCUACCAUUUCGCCACUAGCACUGUCGCUGAGAAUUGUAUCGUAGCACAAGUUGAUCAUGAAAUUUGAAGGAACAACUGUUUCGUUUAGGGUACGCAUGGGCAGUGGCAUUGCAACUUUAUUAUUUUUCCAAGGUCUCUGUGAGACGUCCAGUCCUUCAGCAUGAGCAACAGUACAUGUAAAAAGAAAGGCGCCUCUUUUUAUGUGUACUGUUUGUCCGUGUUUGGGUGGCUGGAAGUGUUGCAGGUAUCUUGGGAUAUCUAAUGCAGUUGUGAUGUUAUUUCAGCGCUGUUUCUAUAAAGGGCAGCUUGCUAUGGCUAUAUGCCUUGGCCUAUAAAAAUAUUCAGUUAUUUUUCAAUUAAAAAUUUUAUUUCUAAUGCAAGGGCAGCUUGCAGCUAUUGCUAUAUGCUUUAGCCUUUUUGACUGACUGACUAAAUUAAAUUGAUUUCGCAGCUGUUUCUAUAAUGGACAGCUAUUGCUAUCACUAUAUGUCUUAGCUAAUAAAAUAUAGACUGUACAGCUUAAUUUCUUGUCAAGAUGUCAUAUCUAUAUAAGGGUGACAUUUCUCACAACAUUGCAAUGUUUCUUAAGCGCCGUUACUUUUUUAAAAAAGGCAGCGUUCACUUCUGCUAUAUGCUGAAGCCUUCAAAAAACAAGAUUACAUUUUUAUUACGAUGCUAUUUCUGUAAGAGGGCAUCUAUAUUGCAAUUUUUUCAUCGCUGUUUCCAUGAAAGGGCAGCACUGAUGCUUUUGCUAUAUGCUCAAGCUUUCAAAAUAGACUGUACAGUUAUUGAUAUUUCAAUUUUUUACAAAAACCACUAAGAUUCACUGCCUAUGUAUCAGUUGUUACCUUUUGCCAUAAUCUAAUGGCUAUAUACUUAUCAAAAUGUGAAGAGCAGUUUUACACAAGUAUAUAACUAUGUAUUUAAUUACAGCGAAGGAGUAGUGAACAGAGUAGUGGCAGAAUGGUGGCUUGUAAGUGGGGUGUCUCACUAGCGCACGUAUUGAGUAUUUACAAGAGCAUUAGGUCUCUUAGGGUUCAGUUAAGGCCAACAUGCAUGAGCGAGUGAGAUAGACUCGUCCAGCUUAGGGUAAGGCAUCAUGCGUGUAUUCACGCACUAGACCCCUCAGGAUCGGACCCCAAACCUUUUUUCAACACUAAAUAUGAAAUUACCCCACCUUACCACAACGUAUAUUGGUGCAUAUCUUGGGCAAAUGUGCAUUCCCGUGGUGGAUAUCUUGGGCAAAUGUGCAAUUUCACGUGGUGGAUAUCUUGGGCAAAUGUGCAUUCUCGUGGUGGAUAUCUUGGGCAAAUGUGCAAUUUCACGGUGGAUAUAAAGUGGUAUUAUUACUCAACUAUAAUUACAUUACCGAAGCUGUUACAAGGUUAGUGGAUAUUUAUAAUAAUAGGGUUAAAAACGGGGGGUUCCCUGCGGUUCUGGAACAAGUAUGACCGUUAUUAUUAAGUAUAACGGAAACAAUAUGGCGGAUUAGUAACAAUAUGGCGGUUUGCAACAAAACAAUAUGGCGAAUUUCUAACAAAAUUGCGAACCAACUAUAAUGCUGAUAAUGCGCGCGCUAAAAACAUAAAAGCACACGUUUUAAGUUGAUAAAUUCUAUAAAGAUUUUAGGCAUGACUUUUAUGAUUUUAUUUUUAUUUUUACUUAUUAUUUUCUAUAAAUGGGGGCCCCAACUGAUAAGUUAUAAGUUCAUAAGAUGUAAUUCGUUUCUUGUAAUAUAGUGUUGUUAUAUCUAUGAUAUACCAACACUUCAGCUUUGUAAAAUAGAUUUUAAGGUAUUUUUGUAACAUAAUUAUGGAGUUCUCAUUUGUAAUAUAUCUUAUGUAAAACGUGCGUUUUGUAACGCGCGUUGAAGCUUGCAAUUGUAUGUAAUAUACGUAUAAAAUGUACUUCUGUAAACAUAGCUAAUUUAAGAGAAUAACUUGUAAAUGUAUUUCAGAAUUUCGAGAGAUUUAUGUAAUAUAACAGUAAUAUGAUUUUAUCAAUAUAUAUAUAUAUAUAUGUGACUGAAAUCAAAACAAAAAAAA